CCUUCUUUUCCCGUGAGCUUGCCUCUGCGAUAUUUCUUCUCCCGUGAGCUUGUCUCUGCGAAAAUUCAUCGUUUUCCCAGUGAUCUUCUGGGAUCAUGAAUCCAGCUUCGAGAGUUUAUCCAACUCAGUGAAGUUUGCUGGUGACUUGAGUCCAAAACUAGAGUUGUGUCGUCAAUUGAAGCAUGAUUUCUUGGAGGAAGACGCUGCUGCUUUGUCCGAGUUCCUUCCUCGUAUCUUCGACCUUUACUCGGACCCGUCCGGUCCUGUUCGCAAACUUGCUACCCAGAUUAUUGGUGAAAUUGGAGUGAAGUACCUCGAAUUUGUACCUGAAAUUGCACCCUUUCUGAUAACUGUUUUGGAAGAUGCUACACCUGUUGUUUCCCGACAGUCUAUUUCUUGCAGUUCGUUAUACUCUCGAAAAGAUUACAAUUCAGGGCCAUCAGUCCAGUGAAUUGGUUAGUGAUCUUGAAUCAACAUGGUCGUGGUUGUUAAACUUAAAGGAGAAGAUAUAUUCUAUAGCUUUCCAGUCAGGAAGUGGUGGGAUAAGAUUAGUGGCAUUGAAGUUUGUUGAAGCAGUAAUUCUUCUUUAUACUCCUAAUCCUAAUGGCUCUGCAGAACCCCCUUCUAAUGAAGGAACCCAAUAAAGUUUAACAUAGCUUGGAUUCAUGGGCGCCAUCCUUUUCUCAAUGUCGGGGAUUUGUCAAUUGAAGCCAGUCAGCGUUUGGUUUUGUUGCUUGAUCAGCUUAGAUUUCCAACAGUAAAGUCUCGAACAACAUCUAUGAUUGUUGUUCUUAUCAACAGUCUUUCAGCAAUUGCAAUAAGCGACCAGCAUAUUAUGGACGCAUUCUACCAGUUUUACUCAGUUUGGAUCCCCCAAGCUUUGUAAUCAAAGUGGUUCAUGUCUAUGGAGCACAUCAUACUUUGAAAAAUGCCUUACUAUCAUGCUUGAAAUGUACUCAUCCAAGUGCUGCACCGUGGCGGGAUCGUUUGCUUGGUGGUUGUUAUCCUCCUCUGCAUUCACAGCUCUUGAUGGUUGCUAUACAUAUAUAAGCUGGUCGGCAAUGAGGUCCUGCUCUUAAUGCCAAACGUUCUGUUGUGGAAAUAUUCAGACAGUUGAGAUAGGUUGUCUUCAGAAUUCAUGCAAAUCCUAGCAUUGCAAUAGCCAUGAAUGUUCCAACCCUGAAGUAGAUGUCAUUAACACUUUUUUCGAAAAGCAAUCUCAUGACCGAUAGCUUAGAAUAAUUCGGACAUGGCCAAAUUAGCAACCACUUAAAAUUGUUUUAGAAUUCUCUUUAGAUACAAGUAAACUAUUUCACUUGUCCUUUGUGUAUGAUCCGAAAGAAAUUAACG